GCGGCGGUGGCGCAGCCGGCGACGCAGCAGAUUUAGGUUCUGUGGCCCGUAUAGGGCUUGAGGGUUCGAAUCCCUUCCGCCGCA
rnacentral:tRNA from 1 species